UACAAUAGUGAGACCACUCUUAGUUGGAUGGU
rnacentral:piRNA from 1 species